AGAUUGAACGCUGGCGGCAUGCCUUACACAUGCAAGUCGAACGCGAAAGUGGGGGCAACCCUGCGAGUAGGGUGGCGAACGGGUGAGUAAUACAUCGGAACGUACCCAGGAGUGGGAGACAACCUCGAGAAAUCGAGGCUAAUACCGCAUACGUCCUGAGGGAGAAAGCGGGGGAUUCGCAAGGACCUCGCGCUCAUGGAGCGGCCGAUGUCGGAUUAGCUAGUUGGUGGGGUAAAAGCCUACCAAGGCUACGAUCCGUAGCUGGUUUGAGAGAACGACCAGCCACACUGGGACUGAGACACGGCCCAGACUCCUACGGGAGGCAGCAGUGGGGAAUUUUGGACAAUGGGGGCAACCCUGAUCCAGCCAUGCCGCGCGAGUGAAGAAGGCCUUCGGGUUGUAAAGCUCUUUCGGCCGGAACGAAAUCGCGUACGUGAAUAACGUGCGUGGAUGACGGUACUGGAAGAAGAAGCACCGGCUAACUACGUGCCAGCAGCCGCGGUAAUACGUAGGGUGCGAGCGUUAAUCGGAAUUACUGGGCGUAAAGCG
rnacentral:rRNA from 1 species